rnacentral:rRNA from 1 species
UACGGGGGGGGCAAGCGUUGUUCGGAAUUACUGGGCGUAAAGGGCGCGUAGGCGGCCUGCUAAGUCGGAUGUGAAAUCCCCCGGCUUAACCUGGGAACUGCGUCUGAUACUGGAAGGCUUGAGUAUGGGAGAGGGAUGUAGAAUUCCAGGUGUAGCGGUGAAAUGCGUAGAUAUCUGGAGGAACACCGGUGGCGAAGGCGGUUCUCUGGGCAUUACCUGACGCUGAGGAGCGAAAGUGUGGGGAGCGAACAGG